UAGUAGUUGGUUUGAGAAAUACUGUUUUUUCAACUCCAGUCUCAAGAAGGGGAGAUUUUAAUUGCUAGGGAUAAGCCAAUGUCAGUAAAAUAUCUGCAAUAUUAAUUUCAGUAUUGAUCAGUAAUUGUCGAGUCUCGUGAAUAGCUCUUAUUUUUGAAACUAAAAACUUCACCUAUGAGUUUUCAAACUGAUUUUCUUCAAAUCGUCCUGAAUUCAGUCAAAUUUGUCAUCAUUGUAUAUUUUAAUUCGACGGAUAUCGCAAUCUUUAUUAGCAACAGGAAAGCCGGAACCGAUAAUAUUUUUGUAUUGUAAGAUGUAUUUACUCUCGGUCAUCUAGCUGAAUGUAUUUGCCAACAAGAUAUCGUGAUAAUUGUUCAAAAGCACGACACACCUUUGGAGGAAAUAGUCCGCACGCGGACUGCUAAAACCGGGAUGGGCCGUUACUUUUAGAGUUAUUAACAUUUUUUAUCAAUGACACGAAUAACGAUAUGAUUUGAUACAAUAUUCCAUCAACACUUCCAUUGCAAUGACAUGAGCAAGAUGCAGUGUUUUGGGUGUUACUCCGUCGUAAGUGGGAAAACUUCUUCUGGUAUCUAUUAACAAGGGCCCACUGGUGGUAGACUGGUGGUUUUCUGUGGUCUAUUCGUUCAUGGUGUUCUAGUCUCUCCUGCAUGGUGGAGGUUUCUGAAAGUGCUAGUGGGUGACAAUAUUGUUGUACUGUAUUUCCUUCACAUUUUGCUCUCGGUCAUG